rnacentral:rRNA from 1 species
GAUCCUGGCUUAGGAUGAACGCUGGCGGCGUGCCUAACACAUGCAAGUCGAGCGAUUCUCUUCGGAGAAGAGCGGCGGACGGGUGAGUAACGCGUGGGUAACCUGCCCUAUACACACGGAUAACGUACCGAAAGGUACGCUAAUACGAGAUAAUAUGCUUUAGUCGCAUGGCUGAAGUAUCAAAGCUCCGGCGGUAUAGGAUGGACCCGCGUCUGAUUAGCUAGUUGGUAAGGUAAUGGCUUACCAAGGCGACGAUCAGUAGCCGACCUGAGAGGGUGAUCGGCCACAUUGGAACUGAGACACGGUCCAAACUCCUACGGGAGGCAGCAGUGGGGAAUAUUGCACAAUGGGCGAAAGCCUGAUGCAAGCAACGCCGCGUGAGCGAUGAAGGCCUUCGGGUCGUAAAGCUCUGUCCUCAAGGAAGAUAAUGACGGUACUUGAGGAGGAAGCCCCGGCUAACUACGUGCCAGCCGCUGC